rfam:Populus trichocarpa scaffold_5_contig_405, whole genome shotgun sequence.
GUUGAGGGGAUUGUCGUCUGGUUCGAUGUCAUUCAUGAGAAGCUCAAACAUAAACGUAAUAUUGAAUGAUUUCGGACCAGGCUUCAUUCCCCCCAAC